rnacentral:rRNA from 1 species
UACAGAGGUCCCAAGCGUUGUUCGGAUUCAUUGGGCGUAAAGCGUGUUCAGGCGGCCGCGCAAGUCGGGCAUGAAAUCUCUCGGCUCAACCGGGAGGGGUUGUCCGAUACUGCGUGGCUGGAGGGCAGUAGAGGGUGGUGGAAUUCCGGGUGUAGUGGUGAAAUGCGUAGAGAUCCGGAGGAACACCAGUGGCGAAAGCGGCCACCUGGACUGUACCUGACGCUCAAACACGAAAGCUAGGGGAGCGAACGGG